CACCAGCUCCACGAGUGGGGACCAGUAUUAUUGGGCCUAAAGCGUUCGUAGCCGGUUAUGUAAAUCCUUUGUGAAAUCGUUAGGCUCAACCUAACGGAUUGCAGAGGACACUGUAUAACUAGGGACUGGGAGGGGUUAGGAGUAUUUUAGGGGGAGCGGUAAAAUGUAAUAAUCCCUAAAAGACUACCAGUGGCGAAGGCGCCUAACCAGUACAGAUUCGACGGUGAGGAACGAAAGCUAGGGGA
rnacentral:rRNA from 1 species